rnacentral:rRNA from 1 species
GGAUCAAUUUGCUGGUCGUGCCUUCGGUACGCACUGGUAUUAUUGGUUUCUCCUUUCUGAUGAAUCGCGAUUUCAUUAAUUUGGUGUCGUGGGGAAUCAGGACUGUUACUUUGAAAAAAUUAGAGUGUUUAAAGCAGGCUCACGCUUGAAUACAUUAGCAUGGAAUAAUGAAAUAGGACGUUUGAUUCUAUUUUGUUGGUUUCUAGGAUCGACGUA